CUACGGGUCGCAGCAGUGGGGAAUAUUGCACAAUGGGCGCAAGCCUGAUGCAGCCAUGCCGCGUGUAUGAAGAAGGCCUUCGGGUUGUAAAGUACUUUCAGCUGGGAGGAAGGGAGUAAAGUUAAUACCUUUGCUCAUUGACGUUACCCGCAGAAGAAGCACCGGCUAACUCCGUGCCAGCAGCCGCGGUAAUACGGAGGGUGCAAGCGUUAAUCGUAAUUACUGGGCGUAAAGCGCACGCAGGCGGUUUGUUAAGUCAGAUGUGAAAUCCCCGGGCUCAACCUGGGAACUGCAUCUGAUACUGGCAAGCUUGAGUCUCGUAGAGGGGGGUAGAAUUCCAGGUGUAGCGGUGAAAUGCGUAGAGAUCUGGAGGAAUACCGGUGGCGAAGGCGGCCCCCUGGACGAAGACUGACGCUCAGGUGCGAAAGCGUGGGGAGCAAACAGGAUUAGAUACCCCGGUAGUC
rnacentral:rRNA from 1 species